ACUGAGUACAUAAAGAAUCUCAUAAAAAGGGAUAUUUUGCGACUGAUUUUAUGUUUGAUGUUUAUUCACUUUGGAGAACUGAUACUCAGA